rnacentral:rRNA from 1 species
UGGGGGAUAUUGCACAAUGGGCGAAAGCCUGAUGCAGCGACGCCGCGUGGGGGAUGAAGGCCUUCGGGUUGUAAACUUCUUUUGCUCUUAACAAGGCAUGCCUUUGGGGUGUGUUGAGUGUAGGGGUUGAUUAGCGCCGGCUAACUACGUGCCAGCAGCCGCGGUAAUACGUAGGGCGCGAGCGUUGUCCGGAAUUAUUGGGCGUAACGGGCUUGUAGGUGGCUGGUUGCGUCUGUCGUGAAAGCUCAUGGCUUAACUGUGGGUUUGCGGUGGGUACGGGCUGGCUUGAGUGCAGUAGGGGAGGCUGGAAUUCCUGGUGUAGCGGUGGAAUGCGCAGAUAUCAGGAGGAAUACCGGUGGCGAAGGCGGGUCUCUGGGCUGUUACUGACGCUGAGGAGCGAAAGCGUGGGGAGCGAACAGG